GGUUCCAUGUUAUAAUGGUUAGCACUCUGAAUUCUGAAUCCAGUGAUCUGAGUUCAAACCACGGGGGAGCCU